CCCUUAGAUGUCCUGGGCCGCACGCGCGCUACAAUGAUAAAUUCAGAAUGUUUUUCCUGCCCUGGAAAGGUGUGGGUAAUCAUUAUAGUAUUUAUCGUGUUAGGGAUCGAUCUUUGCAAUUAUAGAUCUUGAACGAGGAAUGCCUAGUAAGUGCAGCUCAUCAGGCUGUACUGAUUACGUCCCUGCCCUUUGUACACACCGCCCGUCGCUCCUACCGAUUUCGAGUGUUCAGGUGAACCAUCUGGACUGAGCCGCAAGGCCCGGGAAGUUUGGUAAAUCUUAACACUUAGAGGAAGGAGAAGUCGUAACA
rnacentral:rRNA from 1 species